rnacentral:SRP_RNA from 1 species
GCUGGGCGUGGUGGCGCACGUCUGUAAUCCCUGCUACUCUGGAGGCUGAGGCAGGAGACUUGCUUGAACCCGGGAGGCGGAGGUUGCAGUGAGCCGAGAUCCCGCCACUGCACUCAAGCCUGGGCAACAGAGUGAGACUCUGUCUCAA